UCUCUGGUGGCUCAAAGGGUAAAGAGUCUGCCUGCCAUGCAGGAGACUGGGGUUCAAUUCCUCAGUCGGGAA
rnacentral:tRNA from 1 species